GGCUGGUCCGAGUGCAGGGGUGCCUUACAACUAAUUGAUCACAGCCAGUUACAGAUUUCUUUGUUCCUUCUCCACUCCCACUGCUUCACUUGACUAGCCUUAA
ensembl:misc_RNA Y_RNA Y RNA